UACGUAGGGGGCUAGCGUUGUCCGGAUUUAUUGGGCGUAAAGAGCGUGUAGGCGGCCAGGUAGGUCUGCUGUGAAAACUCGAGGCUCAACCUCGAGAUGUCGGCGGAAACCAUCUGGCUAGAGUCCGGAAGAGGAAAGUGGAAUUCCUGGUGUAGCGGUGAAAUGCGCAGAUAUCAGGAAGAACACCCGUGGCGAAGGCGGCUGUCUGGGACGGUACUGACGCUGAGACGCGAAAGCGUGGGGAGCGAACAGG
rnacentral:rRNA from 1 species